rnacentral:lncRNA from 1 species
CCAGAUAACUGGAUAUAUAUAUGAUAAGUAAAUGCUUGAACAAAUAUAUGAAUAAAGAUUUAAAGCAAUGAAUAUAACCUCAGAUAGUUGACCAGAUAACUGGAUGAGGGAUCUGCGUAAAGUAGUCAACCUCUGUAUUUGACCAGAUAACUGGAAGAGAGAUCCUUUUCAACUAAGUGUUGUUUAGUUGUUUUUAGAUGAAAGAUAAAAACUAGAGUUAACAAAGAACAACACAAGAGAUUUAUACUGGUUCACCCAAACAAGGGCUAGUCCAGUCCCGACCAACUGUCGGAAUUCACUCGCCUAAAGGUUAUGGCAAAACCUUAGAGUAUCAAGGAAACUCUUAAGAACCUCUCUAAGCUUUAAGGUUACUUCGCUUAGGAACCAGUCUUUUA